rnacentral:rRNA from 1 species
GGGUUGGAUGAGUGGCGAACGGGUGAGUAACACGUGAGUAACCUGCCCUCUUCUUUGGGAUAACGGUCGGAAACGGCUGCUAAUACCGGGUAUUCACUGUCCUUCGCAUGGGGGGUGGUGGAAAGGUUUUUUCUGGUGGGGGAUGGGCUCGCGGCCUAUCAGCUUGUUGGUGGGGUGAUGGCUUACCAAGGCUUUGACGGGUAACCGGCCUGAGAGGGUGACCGGUCACAUUGGGACUGAGAUACGGCCCAG